rnacentral:rRNA from 1 species
UUGUGAGGUUAAGCGACUAAGCGUACACGGUGGAUGCCCUGGCAGUCAGAGGCGAUGAAGGACGUGCUAAUCUGCGAUAAGCGUCGGUGAGGUGAUAUGAACCGUUAUAACCGGCGAUUUCCGAAUGGGGAAACCCAGUGUGUUUCGACACACUAUCAUUAACUGAAUCCAUAGGUUAAUGAGGCGAACCGGGGGAACUGAAACAUCUAAGUACCCCGAGGAAAAGAAAUCAACCGAGAUUCCCCCAGUAGCGGCGAGCGAACGGGGAGGAGCCCAGAGCCUGAAUCAGUGUGUGUGUUAGUGGAAGCGUCUGGAAAGGCGCGCGAUACAGGGUGACAGCCCCGUACACAAAAAUGCACAUAUUGUGAGCUCGAUGAGUAGGGCGGGACACGUGGUAUCCUGUCUGAAUAUGGGGGGACCAUCCUCCAAGGCUAAAUACUCCUGACUGACCGAUAGUGAACCAGUACCGUGAGGGAAAGGCGAAAAGAACCCCGGCGAGGGGAGUGAAAAAGAACCUGAAACCGUGUACGUACAAGCAGUGGGAGCCUCUUUAUGGGGUGACUGCGUACCUUUUGUAUAAUGGGUCAGCGACUUAUAUUCUGUAGCAAGGUUAACCGAAUAGGGGAGCCGAAGGGAAACCGAGUCUUAACUGGGCGUUAAGUUGCAGGGUAUAGACCCGAAACCCGGUGAUCUAGCCAUGGGCAGGUUGAAGGUUGGGUAACACUAACUGGAGGACCGAACCGACUAAUGUUGAAAAAUUAGCGGAUGACUUGUGGCUGGGGGUGAAAGGCCAAUCAAACCGGGAGAUAGCUGGUUCUCCCCGAAAGCUAUUUAGGUAGCGCCUCGUGAAUUCAUCUCCGGGGGUAGAGCACUGUUUCGGCAAGGGGGUCAUCCCGACUUACCAACCCGAUGCAAACUGCGAAUACCGGAGAAUGUUAUCACGGGAGACACACGGCGGGUGCUAACGUCCGUCGUGAAGAGGGAAACAACCCAGACCGCCAGCUAAGGUCCCAAAGUCAUGGUUAAGUGGGAAACGAUGUGGGAAGGCCCAGACAGCCAGGAUGUUGGCUUAGAAGCAGCCAUCAUUUAAAGAAAGCGUAAUAGCUCACUGGUCGAGUCGGCCUGCGCGGAAGAUGUAACGGGGCUAAACCAUGCACCGAAGCUGCGGCAGCGACACUAUGUGUUGUUGGGUAGGGGAGCGUUCUGUAAGCCUGUGAAGGUGGCCUGUGAGGGUUGCUGGAGGUAUCAGAAGUGCGAAUGCUGACAUAAGUAACGAUAAAGCGGGUGAAAAGCCCGCUCGCCGGAAGACCAAGGGUUCCUGUCCAACGUUAAUCGGGGCAGGGUGAGUCGACCCCUAAGGCGAGGCCGAAAGGCGUAGUCGAUGGGAAACAGGUUAAUAUUCCUGUACUUGGUGUUACUGCGAAGGGGG